rnacentral:lncRNA from 10 species
CCUGUAUAUACCUAGGGAGGACGUGUUUCCCCUCCUACUUUCGAGAACGCCCUGCUCUGUCUAUGAGUAGCUAUUCUUUCACCACUUUACUUCCUUAAUAAACUUACUUUUGCUUUGCACUGUGGACUUGCCCUGAAUUCUUUCUUGUGGGAGAUCGAAGAACUCUCUCUUGGUGUCCGGAUCGGGACUCCUUUCCGGUAACAUCACUAUGUUGCCCAGGCUGGUCUUGAACUCCUGGCCUCAAACCAUCCUAUAGAUUCGACCUCCGAAAGUGCUGGGGUUACAGGCAUAGCCACUGUGCCCAGCUGGAACAAUCUUUAUGAAGGUGAAUUAAAGCUGUGAGGCAUGAGACCAGAAAAGAUGCACCAGGAGUAAUGGAUUUUGGUGGAGAAUGAGCCACAGAAACGCGAUCAUGAGGCAAAUGGUGGGGCCUAACCCUGCCUUCUCAGUCCUCGGGAUGGGAGACCGGGCUAGAGAAGAGAAGGCUGGUGUGAAAACGCCGGGAGGCCCUCAUCGAGCCUCAUUCUCAGCCACAUCGUAAGGAUUUAGAGGCCCUAAGCACUGACGACGCUGUGGUGCCACAAAAAUAGACAAGCAGGGCAUGUGCGCUGAAGCUGGAAGAGGCUUCUUCCAUAUUUUCAUUGCAAAAUCAGAACUUUGACCCGCUUUGCAGAUAACCCUGCAUUUUACCGAGAUGUCAAAGCAGGAAGUGCUUGGCUGGAACAUCUGCCGACAGCCUCAUCUCUUUCUGCAAGAUCAUGAUGUUCUGCAUGCUCCUGUGGCCUCUUAUUUCACGUUGCUCUCCCUGCAAAUUUUGAAACAACUUUAAAGAUGAAUAAAAAGCAGCUCAGCAAGUGAAUCCCAGAUCCCGGGCCAAACUCCGACGCCCACGAGCUCGCUCAGAAUUGGCUCAGGCUGCAAUCACUUCUCUUCUCCUACCUCCACACCAUUCCCUGAUGGUGGACAGCUUCUCCUUUGAGAACCACACCUGCCUUUUCAGACAAAAGGAGACACCACCCACCCUCCUGCUGAGGGCUGCUCCCCUGGGGCCUUCUCAGCACACCUCUCUCUCUCUAGGUCAAAAAACAAAUUUCACAUGCUGAAUUUUUACCUUUUUUAAAGUGACUCCGAAUUUUGGCACCAGCAAUUAAUUCAACACUUGAAUAAGAUUUGAAAACCUCACAACAAAUCACAAAUAUAUUAUGGGUCCUGUU